CCUACGGGCGGCAGCAGUGGGGAAUCUUUCACAAUGGGGGAAACCCUGAUGCAGCGACGCCGCGUGAGUGAAGAAGUAUUUCGGUAUGUAAAGCUCUAUCAGCAGGGAAGAAAAUGACGGUACCUGAUUAAGAAGCCCCGGCUAACUCCGUGCCAGCAGCCGCGGUAAUACGUAGGGGGCAAGCGUUAUCCGGAUUUACUGGGGGGAAAGGUAGCGUAGACGGCAGCACAAGUCUGGGGGGAAAUGCCCGGGCUUAACCCCGGAACUUGAUUGGCAACUGUGCAGCUAGAGUGCAGGGGGGGGAAGUGGAAUUCCUAGUGUAGCGGUGAAAUGCGUAGAUAUUAGGAGGAACACCAGUGGCGAAGGCGGCUUACUGGACUGUAACUGACGUUGAGGCUCGAAAGCGUGGGGAGCAAACAGGAUUAGAUACCCGUGUAGUC
rnacentral:rRNA from 1 species